rnacentral:rRNA from 1 species
GUCCACGCCGUAAACGUUGGGUGCUAGGUGUCGCGGGUAUUGACCCCUGCGGUGCCGUCGCUAACGCAUUAAGCACCCCGCCUGGGGAGUACGGUCGCAAGGCUAAAACUCAAAGGAAUUGACGGGGCCCGCACAAGCGGUGGAGCAUGUGGUUUAAUUCGAAGCAACGCGCAGAACCUUACCUGGGCUUGACAUCCGCGGAACCGCCUCGAAAAGAGGUGGGUGCCUUCGGGAGCCGCGAGACAGGUGCUGCAUGGCUGUCGU